rnacentral:rRNA from 1 species
CACGUAUGGUGCAAGCGUUAUCCGGAUUUACUGGGUGUAAAGGGAGCGCAGGCGGCACGGCAAGCCUGAUGUGAAAGCCCGCGGCCCAACCGCGGGACUGCAUUGGGAACUACCGGGCUGGAGUGCCGGAGAGGUAGGCGGAAUUCCUAGUGUAGCGGUGAAAUGCGUAGAUAUUAGGAGGAACACCAGUGGCGAAGGCGGCCUACUGGACGGUGACUGACGCUGAGGCUCGAGAGCGUGGGGAGCAAACAGG